AGAUCUAUGGGUGAAAUUUUGUAGGUUAAUGAUUAUAGUUGUGUUUAGUAUGUAUUGUGAAUUUGAGCUCGAUCUAACAAUUGAAUUAAAGAUUAUUGAGGUUUAAGUGGGUCAAGGUCUCAGAAAGUAGAAUUUUAGGUCUAGUAAGGGUUUUAAAGAUUUCUUGCAAUCUACUAGUUGGAUUGGAGUGAAAUUUGUGUCAAAGGAUAUUAGACUUAUUUUUCUAUGUGUAUGAGAAUUUUAAAAUCAAUAGAAUGGUGAAAAAAAGAGAUAUUGGCUCUGGAAGAUUAGCAUCAAGGUUGGAGAAGGAGGCCGACCAAUACCUGAGCAUGUUUUUGAGGUCAUCGUCUAUUUAAUAAUUCCGAUCUUUUUCAAAUUUUUUGUACUUGUUUUCAACUUAGUUUUUGAGAAGUAUGCAAAAUUUGAGUUAAGAUCAACAGUUCAUUCAUUAGUUAUUGAGGUUUUAAUUUGUUAUAGAAAUUACUAAGGUUUGAUUAAGAUUUGGUUUAGGAUUUAGAGUUUGGUUAGGAUUUGAUUUAAUAUUUAGGAUUUGAUUUAGAAUUUAGGAUUUGGUUUAGGAUUUAAAGUUUAGUUAGGGUUUUAUUUAAAUUUUGGUUAAGAUUUUGUUUAGGAUUUAGGGUUUGAUUUUGAGUUUAAGGUUUGAUUAAAGUUUGAUUUAGGAUUUAGGAUUUGAUUAGGAUUUAAUUUCAGGUUAGUACUUAGUUAGGAUUUGAUUUAAGAUUUAAGAUUUGGUUAGAUUUUGGUUAGGAUUUGGUUUAGGAUUUAGGAUUUAAUUUAGGGUUUAAGGUUUGAUUAGGAUUUGAUUUAGGGUUAAAGAUUUGAUUAGGAUUUGAUUUAAGAUUUAGUUAGGAUUUGAUUUAGGGUUUAGGAUUUUAUUAGGGUUUAUUUAGAAUUUAAGAUUUAAUUAAUAUUUGGCCUAAACUUUGAAUGAAGUCCAAUAGGAUUUUAACUAAGAUUAAAUUAAAUUAAAUUGAUAUAUAUUUGACAGAUAUUUGUGAUCAUUCUAAUAUUUCUUUAAGAUUUCUUAUUGUUUCUUUGAAAUUUCUUUGAGGUUUCUUUGAAUUUGAUUAAAGCUUAUUUAACAUUAUUAUGGUCUAAUUAAAGCUUAGUUAGUAUUCUAUUAGAAUUAGAAUUUUGUUGUUGCAAUUUCUAUUCUACUUUCCACAGCCAAGUGUUUGGAGCAUUCUCAAACAAGACUUCACGUAUUAUGACAUCGUUGGAGCGUGUCUUUAUCAAGAUUUGAUUUCAAGAUCACAUAUCGACUUGAAAA
rnacentral:lncRNA from 1 species